CCCGCCCCCCCCCCCCCCGCCCCCAGUUUUCAAUCUCUACCACACCAAGGAAAAACCAAAGGAAGAAUAGUUAACAUGAAGAAGAAAUCAGAGCUUAUCUUUAUUCCUUCACCAUUAGUUGGCCAUUUAAGCUCAACCUUUGAACUUGCACAACUCCUUAUCAACACUGAUAACCAUAUUUCCAUCACAAUCCUCAACAUCAAGCCCCUAGCAACCCCCUCUUCAGAGUCCUACCUCAGAACAGUUUCAGCCUCACAACCUCAUAUCCAAAUCAUUGAUGUAGAACAACCACCACAUGAGCAAACUCUUGUACCUCAACCUACAAUAUCCUUCCUCUGGAGCUUCAUGGAGGGGAUCAAACCCCAUGUAAAAUCCACUAUGCAAAACAUUUUAUCAUCUUAUCCUAACAAAGUUGUUGGGUUGGUCCUAGAUUUCCUUUGUGUUCCCAUGGUUGAUGUGGGAAAGGACCUUGGUAUCCCUUCUUAUAUGUUCAUCCCAUCAAAUGCAGGAUUUUUGAGCCUCUUUCUACACUUUCAUAAAAGUGAAAUUGAGGAUUUGUUGAAGGACCCUGAUCCUGAGCUGUUAGUUCCUGGUUUUCCCAGUCCAGUUCCUUCAAGUGUUAUGCCUGAUCAUUAUUAUACAAGAGAUGAAGAAGGAGUUGUUGCCUACUGCAAUUUCACCAAGAAGUACACAGAAACCAAAGGAAUCAUCAUCAACACUCUUUCAGAGUUGGAGCAGUAUGCUAUUGAUGAAUUAUCUGAUGGCCAAACCCCUCCAAUUUAUGCUGUUGGUCCUAUGAUUGAUCUCAAAGGUCCUUCUAACCCAAGUUUGGACCAAGUGAAAAAUAACUGUUUGUUGAAAUGGCUAGAUGAACAGCUACCUGGCUCUGUUGUUUUUCUUUGCUUUGGGAGUAAGGGAAGCUUUGAUCCAUCUCAAACAAGAGAAAUAGCACUAGGACUUCAACAGAGUGGGGUUAGAUUCUUGUGGGCUUUGCGCUCUCGGCCAACCGCAGAUAAUGAAGAGAAAGCUUUACCAGAAGGGUUCUUAGAAUGGAUGGAAGGUAGCAGGAGAGGGAUGUUGUGUGAGUGGGCACCCCAGGUGGAGGUUCUGGCUCACAAAGCCAUUGGUGGGUUUGUGUCUCAUUGUGGUUGGAAUUCCAUCUUGGAAAGCUUGUGGUUUGGGGUGCCAAUAUUGACAUGGCCAAUCUAUGCAGAACAACAGCUAAAUGCUUUUCGGAUGGUGAGGGAUUGGGGAUUAGCAGUGGAGCUGAGAGUGGACUAGCAGAGGAGAUAGAGAAGGGGCUGAAACACUUGAUGGAAAGAGAUAGUAUGGUUCACAAGAAGGUGCUAGAGAUGAAGGAGAUGGCUAGGAAAGCUGUCCUUAGUGGUGGAUCUUCAUUCAUAUCUGUUAGGAGACUUAUUGAUGAUAUGAUAGGUAACAAUUGAUAGGUAUUGUUGUGUUACAUAGAAGGAGAUGCCCCAUUCUAAGAAUCAAUGGCUAAUGGCCUAAUGCAACCCAUCAUUUAGACAAGCAUGGUUGUGAUUCUAAUAGGGCAGUUUUCUUGAUGCAGAUCAUAAAAUGUACUUAUGCAACUGUGACUGUUCUCUCUAUUCUCUUGUGCUUUUCUUAUUGUAUGUAUAAUUUUUUCCACAA